rnacentral:rRNA from 1 species
CCUACGGGCGGCAGCAGUGAGGAAUAUUGGUCAAUGGGCGCGAGCCUGAACCAGCCAAGUCGCGUGAAGGAUGACUGCCCUACGGGUUGUAAACUUCUUUUGUCAAGGAAUAAAGUGAGGCACGUGUUCCUUUUUGUAUGUCCUUUAUGAAUAAGGCUCGGCUCACUCCGUUCCAGCAGCCGCGGUAAUACGGAGGAUCCGGGCGUUAUCCGGCUUUAUUGGGUUUAAAGGGAGAGUAGAUGGGUUGUUAAGUCAGUUGUGAAAGUUUGCGGCUCAACCGGAAAAUUGCAAUUGAUACUGGCAGUCUUGAGUACAGUUGAGGUAGGCGGAAUUCGUGGUGUAGCGGUGAAAUGCUUAGAUAGCACGAAGAACUCCGAUUGCGAAGGCAGCUUACUAAACUGCCACUGACAUUGAUGCUCGAAAGUGUGGGUAUCAAACAGGAUUAGAUACCCCUGUAGUC